ensembl:lncRNA
UCAAAGUUCAAACUGUAUUUUAAUAAACAAUUCAACCCUUGCAUAAGAGCUGAAGCUCCAACAGAGGAGCAAGCUGUGCUGCACGUGCCAUGCAGCAACCACACUGCAGCAGAACAGAACCCGACCGCCUUCACCCAGAAUGCCAUUUUGGCAGGCUUUUUUUCCCAGUGCCCAGAUUGAGUUCAAGAAAUCUUCCUAUUAGAAACCAAUAGCUCCAAACUCUCCACAAACCAGGGCCGUAGUUGCUAAGGCAACCUUGUUUUUCAGACCCAUUUGCUCAUUGCUUAACACGACAGCAACCGAAAUCAUUUUUACCAGUGCACUUCGAGCAGGACAGGAUUUUUUCCUCUGAAAUUGAAAAAAAUAUAUCUUUGAAGUGUUCUUUGUUUUUUUUCCUUCUUCCCUUUAACAACUGCUCCUUUAUAAACUGAAUCCCAAGACUUAGCUGGAAGCAGAGCUAACGCUGCCCUCAGCUGGGCAGACAGGAGCCCAUUCCAUGGACAAGGCCUCACCCUGCUGGCCAGGGGUGACCAAGAAACAGCAGCAAGCCAUUGCUUGCUCCACACGCAGAGGCCAGAGAGGAAGGUGUGGUGAAAGACAUGUACGUACAAACAUAAAGCAAAUGCAAAAGGUCCCAAGAAGGCAAGAAAAAAGGAUUUUAAAACUCCAGACCUGGGGUUCCUGUGCUAAACGCUCCCACCAGCGCUGGGGAGGGGAGCUGCUAGGGGAUAGAAGCAGGCAGCAGUGCAAGAAGGAUCACGGCUUGCAGAGGUGAAAGCACACAAAACUGGGGAUGAGAUGCCUGCAUAAGAGGGGACAUCUUUCCUAUGUCCUUCUUUGGGAAGAUAUGCCAGAGAAAUCAGGAACUGGAGCACUCCUACCCCUGCUGCCUCCAGGAUAUUGCCUACAAACACCAUCUGCAUCUGCCUUGUCAAUUUUGAGAAUGAGCUGGUGGUUCUUUAUGGUAUUUCUGUGUUAGAAAACUGUUCUAGGACAGCCAUGACUUCUUCAGCUCCCAGCACAGCCUGCACACCUGCCCAUGCACGUAGGCACUCCUUACUGGCAAUAUUUGCGUCUUGAUAGCUGCUCUGACCACAUCUUCAAGAGAUAGCAGUUAUAAAUAAUUACGAAGCCAAACUUCCAAUGCUUUUCUGAUAUAGGCCAUCAUAUUUUAUUCACCUCUAAACCACUUGGAUGACACAGGUAAGGAGGAUCAGCAACUUCUCCAUCAGGAACCCAGGCUUCACAGGUGGGGACGACUCCUACUCAUGAUGAACACCAGGUAAAGCUUUUCCCAAGCACUGUGCUGCCUGCAAUUGGAUUGGUGACACAUUACAUAGCUGUGUGCUCACCCUGUUCACAUGGAAACCUGGCCAGGAAAGCAUCAACUGGGCAGUUUGUGAGACAUCAAGUUAGAUUCAGAUUCACAGUGAAGAUGGAUGAAAUACAGCCAUUAAAGUACAUAGUUUUGCACUAAAAAAAAACAACCCAAUUUCAACUGCAAUAAUCAAGUCUUAAAUAAUACAGUAGGACACGUCAACCUGAAAGGAAAGGAUGUCAGUUUUAAGAAGUGGUGAAGAUACAGCAAUUGUUUGGUAUGAUAGAAAUCAAGGUUUAAUAUCCUGUCUACAAGCUGCCUCUUCUUAUCACACAGCGAUUAAACUUAGAGAACUUCAACGUGGCAGAAGUGCAUAUUAAAGCAAAAUCACCGUUACAAAUCAACAGCUCAGUCUUCCUGUGAUAGUAUUCACGGUUUUAAAUGCCCUCCUUUGGUGACAAUGGAAGUUAACAUCAAUUUGAGCAUAUUCAAUAUAUUUCUUAGUAAAAUUAUAACUGAGGCUCGACCAAAAAGACAGUGAAGGUUAGAAGCCAAGGGAUGUGGUUCAAGUACCACCUGCAUAAUACUUCUGUGUCCAUCUUUCAAACAAGAAUGUGAAAAUGUGCUUUGUAUCUUUAAGCUGUUCUUAAUACACCUCUGAAAACCAGCUGAAAGUGUCAAGAUAAUGCUUACCUACAGAGAUUCGAUGGAGGUACACACAUUUUGCUGCUCUCUUCACAUGUAUUCAGCCCUCACUGGAGAGCUGGUUGGGAAUUUCAUACCUUAUUUAGAUGAGAACUCCUAAUCAGAUGUUCUCACCUGGGCCCAGUGAAACUAGGCAUUUGUUCAGCCUGGAGACAGUAUAUUUUAAAACCCUGUAAGCAAAAUAAUCUGUGCAUUUCACAAAACAAAUUCAGCUUACGUGUGUGAGCUGUUCUUUACUAUGAGAUAAUGAAUUAACUUCACAGAUACAUUUGGCUUUAAUGAAAACUAGUGGCAGAGAAACCAUUUCUAUCAGCAGAUUUCAGGUUCCCCUCAAAGAAUACCACUGCAGCAGUACAGUCUCGCUGCAGUCACAAAUGAUAGCUUGCGAUCUUUGUGGGAUCCCAUCUUGCAAAAACCCUAUAAAUCCUCAUAUUCAUACCUGGCAAUAAGUUCAGAGCCUUUAGCAAUGAGUUCAAACUCUUCAGCCGACUGGUAUUUUGUCUAGAGAAGACUCUGUCCUAGAUAAGCAGGACUUCUGGAGCCUAAAAGUAGAGCCUCAGCAUUUCACCAGCCUUGAGGAGGUACACUGUAGGGCUGAUGAUACAAGCACUGUAACAAGAUUGAUGUGCUCAUUAGAAACUAAGUCAACGGUCAUGGUUUUGUAAAUAGGUUCUUGACCAAGUACAGGACCUGGCCUACAUAACAGACAACCCUUCACCUGGAUAGCACCUCCCAGUGGAACCUCACAACCACCACAGGCCCCCUUGCAAAAAAACCACACUAACAUGGGUUUAUGCAUAGUACCAGAUUUUAAUAUGUAUAGCAAUUCUGGGACUAGGUGGGCACUCUGAGGAAACCCUAUGAAUAUUUGUGUAUUAAAGCAUACAAAAUCUGUGUGCUUUCAGAUGGUGAGGAGCAAUCCCUCACGCACCAAGCACUGCAAUAAAGUAAUAUCUGCUUCCUAAUCUGUCAUUCACGUCGUCAAGUUUCAUUCCUGGAUUUUGGUAGCAGAAGGGAACUUAGGCCUACUGUUGAACAGACUUGUUAAAAGACAAGAGCAGGACACCUGCAGAAAUGCUUCCACAUUUGGAAGCCAUCACACUUCUAGCAGUGCUUCUUUUGGAGAGCACAUCUAAAGGGCCACAGUCACAACCGAUUAUGAGAAACUACAGACGCAGUUACACUGAGCUCACCUGCACAGUAAGCGACAGGUUCUAGGAAACAGUGCUGGCGUGCUGCUCCCUGUAGAUACACAAGUAAAAAGGCAGUUACCACAACGCAUGUGGCUUUUAUCUGCAUAAACUCCACGUUUUUCAGUGGAUGUAUGUACAGGACCUGUUGAAUCACGGCCUGAACCUCUGAUUGACCACCUGAGGCGAGCGCUGAGUCAGCCGUGGGAGCACAGGUGAGGGCAGUUGAGCUGUGUGAGUGGAAGGGCUGGAGCCAGGCUGCACCUCUGCUAGAGCCCAUUCCAGGGCUGACUGCCGCUGGGGAGGGGUCUCUCCCUGGAGAUGGCUCCUCGUGGAGUCUUUUUUUUGGUAAGCCCAGUAUUCUUCUCUGUAUUGUCACUGAUUUUACGUCUAUAUACUCAUUGAUUAUACAACGUAUGUUCUUAUAACAAGCUAUAUGAAAGAAAUCCAACGUUAUGUGCUGUAGCACUUCACUGAAGAACUAAGAGUGGCGUUUCACCCCUCGUUUCAGUCAAACCCGCAGGGCCGUUAUGCCAACCUGCAGCUCUCCCUGCCGCUGGUCUCCCUGUGCUCUCCCACGGCCUCCCCAGCACAGGACGGGCCCCUCACCGCCCAGCGAGGCCGCAGGACGGGGCUCCAAAGCACAAAGCCUCGCCUUUCUCCCCAGCUCUCCCCGGCACAGGAGUCAGACGGGCGCACAUCAGGCAGCUGCCCCGCCAGGCUCAGCCCGACAACCCCGCUCCCACACCGCCCUUUGUCCGUCAGCCCCGCCAACAGAGCGCUGCGCGAACACGAAGGAAAAGCCGAAGCGGGAAGAGCUGCAAAGGAGCGACCCGGAGACGGACAGCCCCGCAGGGCCGCACGAGUACCGGCAGGCUCCGCUCCCCGAGCCGGGCCACAGCCCGCCCCCGGAGGCGCC